rnacentral:rRNA from 1 species
GUUUUUACCGACCCGUCUUGAAACACGGACCAAGGAGUCUAACAUCUAUGCGAGUGUUCGGGUGUCAAACCCCUACGCGUAAUGAAAGUGAACGGAGGUGAGAACCGCAAGGUGCAUCAUCGACCGAUCCUGAUGUCUUCGGAUGGAUUUGAGUAUGAGCAUAGCUGUUGGGACCCGAAAGAUGGUGAACUAUGGCUGAGUAGGGUGAAGCCAGGGGAA